AGAUGUGAGGGAGAUAUGGCUGCGACACCUAUCACUCUGUUGAUCGCCAGGGUUGAGUCAGCUGAUCUGGCUGGCUAGGUGGGUUCCCUUCCCCCUUCACCACUCCACAUGCACCCAUACUGAAGGUGCAUGCUUGGUCAAAGAGAACUAUCAUCCCCACUAGAGGAGGGACCGUUCUUCGGUCAAGGCAAUACAAGAAGCUGCGCUCCCCUGCUAGAAACUCCAAACUAGCUCUCAGGAAGGAAGGACAGGACUUCCUAUGUUGGAAAAGACAGAAGAAAAAAGAAUCAUCAAGGCAGGGGCAGUCAGGAU
rnacentral:snRNA from 1 species